UACAGAGGUCUCAACCGUUGUUCGGAUUCAUUGGGCGUAAAGGGUGCGUAGGCGGUCGCGCAAGUCGGAUGUGAAAUCUUAGGGCUCAACCCUGAAACUGCAUUCGAUACUGCGUGGCUCGAGUACUGGAGAGGAGAGUGGAAUUUACGGUGUAGCAGUGAAAUGCGUAGAUAUCGUAAGGAAGACCAGUGGCGAAGGCGAGUCUCUGGACAGUUACUGACGCUGAGGCACGAAGGCCAGGGGAGCAAACGGG
rnacentral:rRNA from 1 species